rnacentral:piRNA from 1 species
UUCCAUGAUCAAAAGAUUUCUGCUAUCCAA